GCUUGCGUAGUUUAAUUAAAAUUUAACACUGAAGCUGUUAAGAUAGACCCUGAAAAGUCUCACGAGCA
rnacentral:tRNA from 1 species